rnacentral:lncRNA from 1 species
AGAUGAGAAAUUGGGGUUUUUCAGAUGUGAUUCCGUUGUCCAAGAUUCUUAAGAUGAAAACAAAGUUGAUAUCUCACUCACUUCGAUUUGAUGCACUUUACCUUCCAUAGCAAAUAUUUAUUACAUCCGACAAGACAAAGGCAACGGGCAGAAAAGUGUACAGCCAUUUCUGUCACACUGAGAAUCAAGCCUGGAUUGCCUCCAGUGAGAAGAUGAUACAGGACUAUUAUAAGGACAAGAUUUUUCAGGAUAAGACACAGUUCUCAUGUGUUCAGACAGAUUGCUUUUCAAAUCACUCUGUAUAGGGAUGGGUUAAACCCAGCUCUAAAAUAAAUAUUUAUAUGCCCUAAAGUUUCCAACUAGGAAGGCGGAAAGGCUCAGAUAUCAAUGACCAGCAUGGGCAGUGACAUGGGUGAAAUGUGGUGUUGCUGGCAUCAAAUUUUCUCAGCUUUCAACUAUUCUCUGUUUUUCUAGAGGAUUGAAUACAUCCUGAUAUUUGAGAACCAGUUGUUAGGCAAUGCAUUUGAAUUAUUAAUAAGAAUGAAGAGGUAACCAUGGCAAGAGAGGAAAAAAAUAAAACUAGCUCUCCAGGUUGCGGAGAUGGUACCUGCAAACUGCUAAGAUACAUAAAAGCAAGGGAAUACAACUUAGAGCAUAGAUGCUUAAAUGCACUUCCUUUCUCUCAUCCACUACCUUAAAGGUAGCAAUUAUGCUUUAUGUGUCCAUGAUAACAAAUGUCUUCUCCAUUCAUCUGUGGCUAGUAGCUUACAAGGCAAAGAUUGCACACAAGGUGACAGGUUUGCUCUCCUCCCUUCCCCACCCCCACUCCCGCACAUCCCCCUGUAAGAGGGACCUCUCAUCCACGUCUCCCAGAGAUUACUGCAAUUAGCAUGUUUCCUAUCAACCCUUCCUGUAAAUCUUUGGUUCAAGGAAGUUUCCUUCCAUCCCUCACCUAGAAGAAAGUAGACAAAAACACAGGCUCAGCACUUUCCAAGUCAAAAAAUAUAGUCAGGUCCUCACCAAACAUGGGCAAUUCUCUGCUCUUUAUCUAUGCAUUUCCUCAACCUUACAUUGACUCAAGGAAGAUAUGCUUCCCCUUAGGAGAGCCAAGUGAGUUAAAAACCAUUGUCAUAGUGUGCCCAAGUGUGAAAAUUAUUAAAGUACCCUUUUGUACAGCUCCUGGAUGAGAGGAGACAAUAGCUGGUGGGGCUGGAGUGCAGGUCUUUAAUCUUCUAUAGGAGUCACCCGUAAAAUUUGAUUCGUUCAAUAGAAGGGGUGCUGGAGUACCUGCUAGAAGUCAGGCCCACCCUGUGCUCUGUACUUGUCUGUA